UGUAAUUCCCCAGGUUGUCCUCAUUUUCCUUUUUAGAGAUUGGCACUAUAUUUACUCUUUUCCAGUCAUCUAGAAACUCUUCUGUCUUCCAUGACUUUUCAAAGAUGAUCGCUAAUGGCUCAGAUAACUUCAGUCAGAUCCUUGAGUAUUCUAGGCUGUAUUUCAUCAGGCUCUGGUGACUUAAAGGGUUACCAUAUCUCGGGGGUUUCCCAGAGAUUGCUUCUUAUUGGAAAUUUCCACCCAGAUGGAGGUCGCUCCCAUACAGCUCUACCCCAUCAGCGACACAGAGAUACCCACAGUGUAGAUCUUGGUGCUUAAUUACGGGAGAAGAACCAAAACAAUUCUGGCCUGAAAAGAAUAAAGAUCUGGAAAAUUUGAAGAAACUUUUGUCAAGAUCUCUGCACUAACAGAACAGGAUUAGUGGUUUAUAUGAAUAAUAAGAGUUAUGUCACCUAGGAUUAAAAAU